rnacentral:rRNA from 1 species
GCCAGACUCCUACGGGAGGCAGCAGUGAGGAAUAUUGGUCAAUGGACGCAAGUCUGAACCAGCCAUGCCGCGUGCAGGAAGACGGCUCUAUGAGUUGUAAACUGCUUUUGUACGAGGGUAAAUGCAGGUACGUGUAUCUGUUUGAAAGUAUCGUACGAAUAAGGAUCGGCUAACUCCGUGCCAGCAGCCGCGGUAAUACGGAGGAUGCGAGCGUUAUCCGGAUUUAUUGGGUUUAAAGGGUGCGCAGGCGGCACGGCAAGCCGGCGGUCAAAUCGCGGGGCUCAACCCCGCCCAGCCGUCGGAACUGCCGGGCUAGAGUGGGCGAGAAGUGCGCGGAAUGCGUGGUGUAGCGGUGAAAUGCAUAGAUAUCACGCAGAACUCCGAUUGCGAAGGCAGCAUACCGGCGCCCAACUGACGCUGAAGCACGAAAGCGUGGGUAUCGAACAGGAUUAGAUACCCCAGUAAA